rnacentral:rRNA from 1 species
GUUGACCUCGGAUCAGGUAGGGAUACCCGCUGAACUUAAGCAUAUCAAUAAGCGGAGGAAAAGAAACCAACCGGGAUUGCCCUAGUAACGGCGAGUGAAGCGGCAAGAGCUCAAAUUUGAAAGCUGGCUCCUUCGGGGUCCGCAUUGUAAUUUGCAGAGGAUGCUUCGGGAGCGGUCCCCAUCUAAGUGCCCUGGAACGGGCCGUCAUAGAGGGUGAGAAUCCCGUAUGGGAUGGGGUGCCCGCGCCCGUGUGAAGCUCCUUCGACGAGUCGAGUUGUUUGGGAAUGCAGCUCUAAUUGGGUGGUAAAUUUCAUCUAAAGCUAAAUAUUGGCCGGAGACCGAUAGCGCACAAGUAGAGUGAUCGAAAGAUGAAAAGCACUUUGAAAAGAGAGUUAAACAGCACGUGAAAUUGUUGAAAGGGAAGCGCUUGCGAUCAGACUCGCUCGCGGGGUUCAGCCGGCCUUCGGGCCGGUGUACUUCCCCGCGGGCGGGCCAGCGUCGGUUUGGGCGGCCGGUCAAAGGCCCCUGGAAUGUAACGCCUCUCGGGGCGUCUUAUAGCCAGGGGUGCCAUGCGGCCUGCCCGGACCGAGGAACGCGCUUCGGCUCGGACGCUGGCAUAAUGGUCGUAAGCGACC